rnacentral:rRNA from 1 species
AUUGAACGCUGGCGGCAGGCCUAACACAUGCAAGUCGAACGGUAACAGGAAGAAGCUUGCUUCUUUGCUGACGAGUGGCGGACGGGUGAGUAAUGUCUGGGAAACUGCCUGAUGGAGGGGGAUAACUACUGGAAACGGUAGCUAAUACCGCAUAACGUCGCAAGACCAAAGAGGGGGGCCUUCGGGCCUCUUGCCAUCGGAUGUGCCCAGAUGGGAUUAGCUAGUAGGUGGGGUAACGGCUCACCUAGGCGACGAUCCCUAGCUGGUCUGAGAGGAUGACCAGCCACACUGGAACUGAGACACGGUCCAGACUCCUACGGGAGGCAGCAGUGGGGAAUAUUGCACAAUGGGCGCAAGCCUGAUGCAGCCAUGCCGCGUGUAUGAAGAAGGCCUUCGGGUUGUAAAGUACUUUCAGCGGGGAGGAAGGGAGUAAAGUUAAUACCCUUGCUCAUUGACGUUACCCGCAGAAGAAGCACCGGCUAACUCCGUG